rnacentral:rRNA from 1 species
GCUACAGGCUUAACACAUGCAAGUCGAGGGGCAGCAUUUCAGUUUGCUUGCAAACUGGAGAUGGCGACCGGCGCACGGGUGAGUAACACGUAUCCAACCUGCCGAUAACUCGGGGAUAGCCUUUCGAAAGAAAGAUUAAUACCCGAUGGCAUAAUUAGACCGCAUGGUCUUAUUAUUAAAGAAUUUCGGUUAUCGAUGGGGAUGCGUUCCAUUAGGCAGUUGGUGAGGUAACGGCUCACCAAACCUUCGAUGGAUAGGGGUUCUGAGAGGAAGGUCCCCCACAUUGGAACUGAGACACGGUCCAAACUCCUACGGGAGGCUGCAGUGAGGAAUAUUGGUCAAUGGACGAGAGUCUGAACCAGCCAAGUAGCGUGAAGGAUGACUGCCCUAUGGGUUGUAAACUUCUUUUAUAUGGGAAUAAAGUUUUCCACGUGUGGAAUUUUGUAUGUACCAUAUGAAUAAGGAUCGGCUAACUCCGUGCCAGCAGCCGCGGUAAUACGGAGGAUCCGAGCGUUAUCCGGAUUUAUUGGGUUUAAAGGGAGCGUAGGUGGACAGUUAAGUCAGUUGUGAAAGUUUGCGGCUCAACCGUAAAAUUGCAGUUGAUACUGGCUGUCUUGAGUACAGUAGAGGUGGGCGGAAUUCGUGGUGUAGCGGUGAAAUGCUUAGAUAUCACGAAGAACUCCGAUUGCGAAGGCAGCUCACUGGACUGCA